UUUCUUUCUUCUUCUCUCUAUACGUUGGUGUUCUAACCAAUAAUCACCGAUGCGAUGUUCUGUCCGAUCGAUUCAUGAACCAACUAACGGAUGCCAAAGUAUUGUAUUUUGUGAGUUCGUUAAAACGGAUGCCAAAAUGCUGUCUAAACAAGACUAUACUUUGUGAAUUUCAUUAAGGUUCGAAUCUCGUGACUACCGUUAAGGUUUGAUUUGGGUAAUACACAAAUACGUAUUCCAUUCUGUUAAACUAUAUGUUUAACUAUCAGAAUACUCCCAAAUUUAUAAUCAAACAAGCUGUUAAAUCAUCAGAAGAUUCAGAACAAUAAAGUAUACGCUUAAUUAUCAGAAGGAGUAGAAUCAAGAAGCUUGUUAAAUCAAUACUGCAUGCUUAUAAAGUAAUUACAGUAGAUUGGAGUAAGGAUUGGAUCCGGCACUAAAAGACUUCAAGAAGUGGCUUAUUUUAUUAAUUAAAUCAAAUUAAGAAAUAUUGUUUUUAUUAAAAGCUACCUUUGUAACAAUGGAAUUUAUUCCAUCUAUUUAAAUAAAAUCUGGUGUUUCUAAACUCUGAUAUUUUUCCUAACUCACGGUCCUGAUGAAAUUUCCGCUGCAAUAUUUUUCAAAAUAACUCACCGGUACCACUGGACUGCUCGCGGCUCCCGAUUCCGUCUAGGGUGGGUCGGGAGUCGUGACAACAAGAUCUUGGCCUGAGUCUUGAAGAUUUGCAGGAUCUCCUUGAUCUUCCACUUAGCAGGGAUGAUGAUGAUACAUAUGCCUUAACUUUUGAAUUACAAUUUAAAGGGCAAAUAAGGGAACUGCAGAUGAGGCAAUAAAGAUCUACAAUAAUGAAGAGUUUUGGCAUUAACUGUUCCAGGGGGAGAUUGUUAGGAUUGAACCCUGCCAAAGGAACAGAUAAUUAAAGCCAAAACUAGAUCAGAGCAAUGGAUCCAGAAUAACCAGAUGUUUGGUUGCAAGUCUCUCCCCUUGAAAGUGGUUUCAACAUCUGCUGACCUCCUAUCUGCUAAUCAUGCAAACUGCUGACCUACAACUGCUGCUCAAGACAAAGACUGAUUGAAGAACUAAAGCUCUGCUGCUCAAUCUACUGCCUUGGUUCAAGCACUGCUGAUCAUGACAAGUACUGAUGGGUUCACAGCAGUGGAAGGAUGCAGCAGCAGUUUAUGUUUGUUUUAUGUAGUGAAAUGUAAUAUCAGUAGUUAGCAUAACAGUGUCUGUAUAGAUCAGAGGUUAGAGUUUGUUAGGAGGUUAGAUGUCACUUUCAUGGUGACGUCAGCUUAGAUGCUCAGUGGUUUGCAAGUGCCUAUAAAUACAACAGUACUCUAUACUGUUCUGUUUAGCUCUUUCACCAUCUUCUUUCUGCAGGAACAAACACUGAGCUCGGGCUGAGGGGGAGUUGGCAUAUCAUACAUGCAUUGUAAUCAGAGUUUAAAAAUAAAUUUAAUCAUUUGAUUCUGUGUUGAAAAUGUAUGAUUGAAAGCAUUUCUUCUGUUUGAUUGUGAAAAGUUUGCUUCCAUUUAAAUUCCGUUGCACUACUCUUUCAUUUGUUCAUCUAAAUUCAAACACAAAUC
rnacentral:lncRNA from 1 species